AUUGAACGCUGGCGGCAGGCCUAACACAUGCAAGUCGAACGAGUGGCGGACGGGUGAGUAAUGUCUGGGAAACUGCCUGAUGGAGGGGGAUAACUACUGGAAACGGUAGCUAAUACCGCAUACAAUCGGAUGAGCCCAGAUGUGAUUAGCUAGUAGGUGGGGUAAAGGCUCACCUAGGCGACGAUCCAGAGCUGGUCUGAGAGGAUGACCAGCCACACUGGAACUGAGACACGGUCCAGACUCCUACGGGAGGCCGCAGUGGGGAAUAUUGCACAAUGGGCGCAAGCCUGAUGCAGCCAUGCCGCGUGUAUGAAGAAGGCCUUCGGGUUGUAAAGUACUUUCAGCGGUGAGGCGUUACCCGCAGAAGAAGCACCGGCUAACUCCGUGCCAGCAGCCGCGGUAAUUC
rnacentral:rRNA from 1 species